AACGAACGCUGGCGGCAGGCCUAACACAUGCAAGUCGAGCGCGCCCUUCGGGGUGAGCGGCGGACGGGUGAGUAACGCGUGGGAACGUGCCCUUCUCUGCGGAAUAGCCUCGGGAAACUGAGAGUAAUACCGCAUACGCCCUUUGGGGGAAAGAUUUAUCGGAGAAGGAUCGGCCCGCGUUGGAUUAGGUAGUUGGCGGGGUAAUGGCCCACCAAGCCGACGAUCCAUAGCUGGUUUGAGAGGAUGAUCAGCCACACUGGGACUGAGACACGGCCCAGCCUCCUACGGGAGGCAGCAGUGGGGAAUCUUAGACAAUGGGGGCAACCCUGAUCUAGCCAUGCCGCGUGAGUGAUGAAGGCCUUAGGGUUGUAAAGCUCUUUCAGCUGGGAAGAUAAUGACGGUACCAGCAGAAGAAGCCCCGGCUAACUCCGCG
rnacentral:rRNA from 1 species